rnacentral:lncRNA from 1 species
CUUUAAAUGUCUCUUCUAACUGAAAUGAUUCUGUGAUUCUACACUGGGAUUCAACUCUGUGCUCAUUUGUCAGAAAGAAGUGGAAAUGUUUUCAGGGAAAGAGAAGAAAAGGGAAGAAUGUUGGAAGACUUGCACUUCAAGGGGACAGAGCAUGAAUUCAGCCAACUGAAGGUGUUUUGAUGAUGUAAGCAGUCUGACCUUUGAAGAGCUUUACAAAAGACAAUAAAAGGAUAGAAUCA